AUUGAACGCUGGCGGCAGGCCUAACACAUGCAGGUCGAGCGGAUGAAGGGAGCUUGCUCCUGGAUUCAGCGGCGGACGGGUGAGUAAUGCCUAGGAAUCUGCCUGGUAGUGGGGGAUAACGUCCGGAAACGGGCGCUAAUACCGCAUACGUCCUGAGGGAGAAAGUGGGGGAUCUUCGGACCUCACGCUAUCAGAUGAGCCUAGGUCGGAUUAGCUAGUUGGUGGGGUAAAGGCCUACCAAGGCGACGAUCCGUAACUGGUCUGAGAGGAUGAUCAGUCACACUGGAACUGAGACACGGUCCAGACUCCUACGGGAGGCAGCAGUGGGGAAUAUUGGACAAAGGGCGAAAGCCUGAUCCAGCCAUGCCGCGUGUGUGAAGAAGGUCUUCGGAUUGUAAAGCACUUUAAGUUGGGAGGAAGGGCAGUAAGUUAAUACCUUGCUGUUUUGACGUUACCAACAGAAUAAGCACCGGCUAACUUCGUG
rnacentral:rRNA from 1 species